rnacentral:lncRNA from 12 species
AGCUGAAAUAUCAUCCAGAUAUUCUAGGCCUCCACUAGCAUAACUUGACACUGAAGGUUUUCCAGGAGUUCUUUACUGAAAUCUCUGCUAAGGAAUCAACAGGAUGGAUUAUUUUAGCUUGGAUUCAUUUCAAGAGAUUGAUUUCAGAUUGUAGUUUCAUCAAGGCAGGAACCAGGUGGAUCUUGCCCAUGGUUUAUGUCUGA